rnacentral:rRNA from 1 species
AACGAACGCUGGCGGCAUGCCUAACACAUGCAAGUCGAACGAGACCUUCGGGUCUAGUGGCGCACGGGUGCGUAACGCGUGGGAACGUGCCUUUAGCUUCGGAAUAGCCCUGAGAAAUUUGGGCUAAUACCGGAUGAGGUCUUCGGACCAAAGAUUUAUCGCCUUUAGAUGGGCCCGCGUUGGAUUAGCUAGUUGGUGGGGUAAUGGCCUACCAAGGCGACGAUCCAUAGCUGGUCUGAGAGGAUGAUCAGCCACACUGGGACUGAGACACGGCCCAGACUCCUACGGGAGGCAGCAGUGGGGAAUAUUAGACAAUGGGCGAAAGCCUGAUCCAGCAAUGCCGCGUGAGUGAUGAAGGCCUUAGGGUUGUAAAGCUCUUUUAGCCGGGAUGAUAAUGACAGUAUCGGGAGAAUAAGCUCCGGCUAACUCCGUG